rnacentral:rRNA from 1 species
AUUGAACGCUGGCGGCAGGCCUAACACAUGCAAGUCGAGCGGAUGAAGGGAGCUUGCUCCUGGAUUCAGCGGCGGACGGGUGAGUAAUGCCUAGGAAUCUGCCUGGUAGUGGGGGAUAACGUCCGGAAACGGGCGCUAAUACCGCAUACGUCCUGAGGGAGAAAGUGGGGGAUCUUCGGACCUCACGCUAUCAGAUGAGCCUAGGUCGGAUUAGCUAGUUGGUGGGGUAAAGGCCUACCAAGGCGACGAUCCGUAACUGGUCUGAGAGGAUGAUCAGUCACACUGGAACUGAGACACGGUCCAGACUCCUACGGGAGGCAGCAGUGGGGAAUAUUGGACAAUGGGCGAAAGCCUGAUCCAGCCAUGCCGCGUGUGUGAAGAAGGUCUUCGGAUUCUAAAGCACUUUAAGUUGGGAGGAAGGGCAGUAAGUUAAUACCUUGCUGUUUUGACGUUACCAACAGAAUAAGCACCGGCUAACUUCGUG